rnacentral:rRNA from 1 species
AUUGAACGCUGGCGGCAGGCCUAACACAUGCAAGUCGAGCGGAUGAAGGGAGCUUGCUCCUGGAUUCAGCGGCGGACGGGUGAGUAAUGCCUAGGAAUCUGCCUGGUAGUGGGGGAUAACGUCCGGAAACGGGCGCUAAUACCGCAUACGUCCUGAGGGAGAAAGUGGGGGAUCUUCGGACCUCACGCUAUCAGAUGAGCCUAGGUCGGAUUAGCUAGUUGGUGGGGUAAAGGCCUACCAAGGCGACGAUCCGUAACUGGUCUGAGAGGAUGAUCAGUCACACUGGAACUGAGACACGGGCCCGACUCCUACGGGAGGCAGCGGGGGGGAAUAUUGGAAAAUGGGCGAAAGCCUGAACCAGCCAUGCCGGGGGGGUGAAGAAUGGCUUCGGAUUGUAAAGCACUUUAAGUGGGGAGGAAGGGCAGUAAGUUAAACCCUGGCUGUUUGGACGUUACCAACAGAAUAAGCACCGGCUAACUUCGU